rnacentral:lncRNA from 1 species
GAGGCAAGCCACCGCAGAACACCCUCCAGAAUGAUAACACAAGCAACACAUAACUUUAAGUGUACUUAGAUCUUUAUCACCCAUCUGAGGUUAUUUUGUUCCAUUGUCAAAUGGUAUGUUAUUCACCCCCUUCUAGUGAAGUGCAUGUUUCUAUCUGUAAAUAUAUAUAUACAAUAUACAUUUCUGAGUUCCAGAGUUUUUCAUAUUUCUUUACAUUAUGUACAACCCAAGUAUCAUUUACCUUUGACUUGAAUUUAUGAUAAUAAAUUUGUUUUAGAAUGCUGACCUGCUUGAGUUCCAGUCCUGACUUCCUUUGGUGAUGAACAGCAGCAUGGAAGUGUAAGCCGAAUAAACCCUUUCCUCCCCAACUUGCUUCUUGGUCAUGAUGUUUGUGCAGGAAUAGAAACCCUAAGACAAAUUGGUACCAGCAGAGUGGGGUAUUCCUGUGACAACCUGACCAUGUUUUCGGGAGGUCUGUGGAAGGACUUUGGAACUUUGGUCUUGAAGAUUAAUUCUUUGUUAAGAGCUCUGUGGGAUGCUGUGUAGGAGCUUGGAAGAUAAUGUUGAGAACAGUGCAGAAGAUGGAGGCCUGGCUUGUGAAAUUUCAGAGGGAAAAUUAAAGACUCUUUUCAGGGCCAUUGCUGUUUUGAUUGUGAAGAUUCUGUAGUUCUGGUUAGCUGGGGCUGAAGAAUCAGCUGUGAUUAACAAGAUACCAGAACUACUAAAGCAAAAACUUUGCAUUACUGGGACUAUUGAUGCUGGUUAGCUGGAGCUAAGAAAUUAGCGGUGAUUAAGAAGAGACCAGCAUCAUUGAGGUGACAUCUUCUGGGAAGUGUUUUCUGAGAGCACAGUGG